GUAUAGCUCAGUUUAUUAGAGUGGGGCACUGAUAAUGCCAAGGUUGCAGGUUUGAUCCCCGGUAGGGACA